rnacentral:tRNA from 1 species
AUUUAAGUAGUUUAAUAAAAAUUUUGAUUUGUGGAAUCAAAGAUAUUUCUAAAAUCUUAAAUU